rnacentral:lncRNA from 1 species
CAGCUUCAGCAGCUAAUACAGACCUUACAGAUACAGCAGCAGAAGCCUCAGCCUUCUAUCCUGCAGGCCUUGGAUGCUGGUCUUAUGGUUCAGUUACAGGCACUCACUGCAUGGCUCACAGCUGCAGCUGCUGCAGCCAACACACUUACGCCCUUGGAUCAGGGAGUCUCUUUCAACAAGAAGUUGAUGGAUAGAUUUGAUUUUGGGGAAGAUUCUGAGCAUAGUGAAGAAUCCAAAAAGGAAAUGCCUACUCCUCAACUCUCUCACGUUUCGGAGUCUGUGAACAACUCCAUCUUCCAUCAGAUAGCAGAACAGCUGCAGCAGCAGAACUUGGAGCAGUUGUGACAGCAGCUCCUGGAGCAGCAGCAGCCUCAGAAGCAGGUAACUCCUCAAGAUAGCCAGGAGGGGACAUUUGGGUCUGAGCACUCAGCUUCUCUCCCACAAGGGAGCAGCCAACAGCAUUUUCUGGAACCUGAAGCAAAUUU